rnacentral:lncRNA from 1 species
GGAGUCAAGGACAAGGAAGGAUACAUAUGGAUGAGAAGCUACAAACCAAAGGAAAUAGAGGAGCAAUGGGGAACAAGUGAAAGCACAGUCAAAUCACCCCCAAAACCUCUAAUUCAAUCCUGUUCUUGACUCCUUUAUUCACAUUUUUUUUUUAAUUUUUCUCAUUUUUCUGUAUUUUUUUUCUCUUUUUUUUCAUCUUGUCUUUUUUUUUUUCUCUCAAUAUUGGACAUAACUCUAAGAGACAAGAUACACCAUAUAUUUACAAAAACACAAACAAGAAGAGGAACCAAUCUAGCCAAUUCAUCAUAAUCUCCCAGGAGACCACACUUAUUC